GGAGAGGUGUCCGAGUGGCCGAAGGAGCACGCCUGGAAAGUGUGUAUAGGGUAACCUAUCGAGGGUUCGAAUCCCUCCCUCUCCGCCA
rnacentral:tRNA from 1 species